rnacentral:rRNA from 1 species
CGUACACUCCUACGGGAGGCAACAGUGGGGAAUAUUGGACAAUGGGCGCAAGCCUGAUCCAGCCAUGCCGCGUGAGUGAUGAAGGCCCUAGGGUUGUAAAGCUCUUUCACCGGUGAAGAUAAUGACGGUAACCGGAGAAGAAGCCCCGGCUAACUUCGUGCCAGCAGCCGCGGUAAUACGAAGGGGGCUAGCGUUGUUCGGAUUUACUGGGCGUAAAGCGCACGUAGGCGGACUAUUAAGUCAGGGGUGAAAUCCCGGGGCUCAACCCCGGAACUGCCUUUGAUACUGGUAGUCUUGAGUUCGAGAGAGGUGAGUGGAAUUCCGAGUGUAGAGGUGAAAUUCGUAGAUAUUCGGAGGAACACCAGUGGCGAAGGCGGCUCACUGGCUCGAUACUGACGCUGAGGUGCGAAAGCGUGGGGAGCAAACAGGAUUAGAAACCCUUGUAGUCCC